rnacentral:rRNA from 1 species
UACGUAGGGGGCUAGCGUUGUCCGGAAUCAUUGGGCGUAAAGAGCGUGUAGGCGGCCCGGUAAGUCCGCUGUGAAAGUCGGGGGCUCAACCCUCGAAAGCCGGUGGAUACUGUCGGGCUUGAGUGCGGAAGAGGCGAGUGGAAUUCCUGGUGUAGCGGUGAAAUGCGCAGAUAUCAGGAGGAACACCGAUUGCGAAGGCAGCUCGCUGGGACGUAACUGACGCUGAGACGCGAAAGCGUGGGGAGCAAACAGG